AUUGAACGCUGGCGGCAUGCUUUACACAUGCAAGUCGAACGGCAGCACGGACUUCGGUCUGGUGGCGAGUGGCGAACGGGUGAGUAAUACAUCGGAACGUGCCCAGUUGUGGGGGAUAACUACUCGAAAGAGUAGCUAAUACCGCAUGAGAACUGAGGUUGAAAGCAGGGGAUCGUAAGACCUUUCGCAACUGGAGCGGCCGAUGGCAGAUUAGGUAGUUGGUGGGAUAAAAGCUUACCAAGCCGACGAUCUGUAGCUAGUCUGAGAGGACGACCAGCCACACUGGGACUGAGACACGGCCCAGACUCCUACGGGAGGCAGCAGUGGGGAAUUUUGGACAAUGGGCGAAAGCCUGAUCCAGCAAUGCCGCGUGCAGGAUGAAGGCCUUCGGGUUGUAAACUGCUUUUGUACGGAACGAAAAGCUUCGGGCUAAUACCCUGGAGUCAUGACGGUACCGUAAGAAUAAGCACCGGCUAACUACGUGCCAGCAGCCGCAGUAAGAC
rnacentral:rRNA from 1 species